UACGAAGGGGGCUAGCGUUGUUCGGAAUUACUGGGCGUAAAGCGCGCGCAGGCGGCCAUUCAAGUCAGUGGUGAAAGCCCGGAGCUCAACUCCGGAACUGCCAUUGAAACUGUUUAGCUUGAGGACGAGAGAGGUGAGUGGAAUUCCCAGUGUAGAGGUGAAAUUCGUAGAUAUCAAGCGGAACACCGGUGGCGAAGGCGGCCUUCUGGACAGUGACUGACGCUGGAGAACGCGAAAGCGUGGGGGAGCAAACAGG
rnacentral:rRNA from 1 species